CUCCCUGUGCUUCAGCCCAGGGGUCAGCCCCCAAGCCAAAGCCAGCCAACUGCCAGUGUUGGUACUGAGCUAAGAAUGGUUUUUCUAUCUUUAAACAGGGGAAAUGAAUCAAAAGAAGAGCAAUAUUUUGUGACAUGUGACAAUGAUAUGCAAUUCAAAUGUCAGUGUCCUAAAUAAAAUUUCGCUGGAUCACAGCCACACUCAUUCGUGUGUGAACUGUCCAGGGUGGCUUUUGUGCUACAAUAGCUGAGUAGUUGCAGUCAAGACCCGAUGGCCCAUAACAGUUCAAUUGUGGACUGAGUGGCCCUCUGCGAGAGAAGUGUGCUGAUGUCUGCGUGAGUCACACCGGUCUCCUUUCUGUUCCUCAACUCACCCUGCUCAUGCUCUCCUCGGGGCUUUACACUUCCUGUUUCCUCUUCCUCUUUGCAUGGCUGGUUUGUUCUCAUAUGAUCUCACUUCAUGGACAAAAACAGCAGAAGGUCACAUACUACCAGACUGGAUCCCGAACCUAGAAGAAGGUAUGAACAGGCUUUAAAAACGGGUCCUGACCAGUCGACAGUGCUUGCCUGUCGAGACAGCCACAAAGGCACGUCCUUCUGCCAGUCCGACAGACAACGCCACACUGUGCCUCUCCAUGCUCUGCUCCCUGCCAGACAACAGAAGAACGGCUAGUACCUCUCGAUCCAGACGCGACCAAGCUCUCAGCCCCUGCAUCCAGAUUGGACCAGCCCAACUGUUGAACCCCAGAGGACACCACCACCGGGAUCCCGUUAAGCCUGUACCCGCAGCAUCAGGAACUUUCACAUGAACCACAGGAGAAGACAGGACCCCUCUGGAUAAAAGGGAAAUAAAUCUAGUAUGUGAUACAGUCAAAGGGCACAGAUCUGAGCUCUAAGGACCUCCGGUCUCCAUAUCAGCUGCAGCACCACCCAAGUCCUUUGCCCCCUCGGAGCCUGGGUCCUCUUCUGUAGAAGACCAACUUGCCUCAUCGUCAUAGAGAUACUUAAGGACCAAAGAAGAAAAUCUCUUUUCAAACUGCAUCUUAAGGAAAUACGAAGUAUUUCGCUCGUCCUUUAUUAAUACCAUGGAACAAGAACGCCAAAUUCUACUUAAUAAACACGACCGUGACAACCUCACAAUUUUGCACUUAUUUUAAGACUCCAAGUUAAAUUGGCAUGUUCCCAAAUGUAUUAUUUUGUUCUUAAAAUAAAGAAAAGAUAUGUUUAAGAUUUUAAGGGAGGUGGGCUUAAAAUGCAAACACUUUCUGAGAGGUGCAGGGGGCGAUCUGCCUGAGGCAGAGAUGAGAAAGGGAAGGUCACAGAUCAAGGCCACCCAGGAGAGAGCGGCAGCAGUCCCUCCUCUCGCAGUUAUGUGCCGGUUUUAGUUUAGUACAUUUCUCAAAGCGGGUCAGCGAAUAGGGUCACCGUACGAGCUGUGUUAGUGAAACUGCGUGUGCCUAGUACCAAGGGGAGCGUUCUGACAGAGGCUACUGAGCAAACUCGAAUUGGGACUUGAGGAAAGUGCAGUAAAUCUGUAGAGAA